UUGAACCUACGGGAGGCAGCAGUGAGGAAUAUUGGUCAAUGGGAGAGAUCCUGAACCAGCCAAGCCGCGUGAGGGAAGACGGCCCUAUGGGUUGUAAACCUCUUUUGUCGGAGAACAAAACCCGGGACGAGUCCCGGACUGCGUGUAUCCGAAGAAAAAGCAUCGGCUAACUCCGUGCCAGCAGCCGCGGUAAUACGGAGGAUGCGAGCGUUAUCCGGAUUUAUUGGGUUUAAAGGGUGCGUAGGCGGUCUGUUAAGUC
rnacentral:rRNA from 1 species